CUUGGAAGGGGGGUGGGGGACGGACAGAGCACACCGCAGGGCAGGUUUCCCGCUUGGAAGGGGGGGUGGGGGACGGACAGAGCACACCGCAGGGCAGGUUUCCCGCUUGGAAGGGGGGGUGGGGGACGGACAGAGCACACCGCAGGGCAGGUUUCCCGCUUGGAAGGGGGGUGGGGGACGGACAGAGCACACCGCAGGGCAGGUUUCCCGCUUGGAAGGGGGGGUGGGGGACGGACAGAGCACACCGCAGGGCAGGUUUCCCGCUUGGAAGGGGGGGGUGGGGGACGGACAGAGCACACCGCAGGGCAGGUUUCCCGCUUGGAAGGGGGGGUGGGGGACGGACAGAGCACACCGCAGGGCAGGUUUCACGCUUGGAAGGGGGGAUCGGUGAGGAAGAAGCACCCCGCAGGACACGGUUCCCGCUUGGAAGGGGGGGUGGGGGACGGACAGAGCACACCGCAGGGCAGGUUUCACGCUUGGAAGGGGGGAUCGGUGAGGAAGAAGCACCCCGCAGGACACGGUUCCCGCUUGGAAGGGGGGGGGGGGGGACGGACAGAGCACACCGCAGGGCAGGUUUCACGCUUGGAAGGGGGGAUCGGUGAGGAAGAAGCACCCCGCAGGACACGGUUCCCGCUUUGAAGGGGGGGUGGGGGACGG